rnacentral:lncRNA from 1 species
UAAAUUCAAAAAUCCCAGUGACUUUUGGUUGCCAACAACAAUUAUGAGUAUAAGGACUUUUACAAAUAAGUCCUAAUUUUGAAAAGUUUGGUCCAAGAAUCUUCAUUUUCGUUUUUCACCAUAACAUCAUUGACUUCAUAUGUGGGAAAACAUGACCAUCUUUCACAGCCUUCCAAGUACCACGAUCCAUCCCCUCAAUGGAGAUUCUCAUCUUCUCUU